rnacentral:rRNA from 1 species
CAGCAGCCGCGGUAAUACGAAGGGUGCAAGCGUUAAUCGGAAUUACUGGGCGUAAAGGGUGCGUAGGCGGUUGUUUAAGUCUGUUGUGAAAGCCCUGGGCUCAACCUGGGAAUUGCAGUGGAUACUGGGUCACUAGAGUGUGGUAGAGGAUAGUGGAAUUUCCGGUGUAGCAGUGAAAUGCGUAGAGAUCGGAAGGAACAUCUGUGGCGAAGGCGGCCAUCUGGGACAACACUGACACUGAGGCACGAAAGCGUGGGGAGCAAACAGGAUUAGAUACCCCUGUAGUCCCUGUCUCUUAUAC